UGGGGAAUAUUGCACAAUGGGCGCAAGCCUGAUGCAGCCAUGCCGCGUGUGUGAAGAAGGCCUUCGGGUUGUAAAGCACUUUCAGCGAGGAGGAAGGGUAGUGUGUUAAUAGAACAUUGCAUUGACGUUACUCGCAGAAGAAGCACCGGCUAACUCCGUGCCAGCAGCCGCGGUAAUACGGAGGGUGCAAGCGUUAAUCGGAAUUACUGGGCGUAAAGCGCACGCAGGCGGUUUGUUAAGUCAGAUGUGAAAUCCCCGCGCUUAACGUGGGAACUGCAUUUGAAACUGGCAAGCUAGAGUCUUGUAGAGGGGGGUAGAAUUCCAGGUGUAGCGGUGAAAUGCGUAGAGAUCUGGAGGAAUACCGGUGGCGAAGGCGGCCCCCUGGACAAAGACUGACGCUCAGGUGCGAAAGCGUGGGGAGCAAACA
rnacentral:rRNA from 1 species